rnacentral:tRNA from 1 species
UCCCUGGUGGUUUAGCGGUAAAGCAUCUGCCUGAAAUGCAGGAGACAUUUGAUCCCUGGGAU